UUUGGGCUUGGGAAGAAAAUCUCGGGCCUCCUUAGCUUCCCGUACUAGCCUGCCAGGCUCCGAUAACCACCCCGCUUCCGUCUCAAUACCGACAGGAGCACAAUACAAGAAAAAGCCCCCUUCUGCCGCCUCUGAGGCUUACACCACUUUUCUUCCAAAGAAGCAAAUCCCAUCCAGAUCUGGCUGCGUGGUGAUAUUUAACUCUUUGGAAUCGUGAUCUGGAGCUGGAGACCCUGUCUUUCGACGCCUGAAGGAUGCAGCCUCUUAGACCCCCUCGGCGGCUCUCCGUCGGUGCUCUCUUUCCCUCUCCCUUGUCCACGGCCACCUCUAAGCGUUCUCUCAGCGCGUCAGCCCCUCUUCUGGGAGGCGGGUCGGGGAUGGGAAGGCACCGACUGUCACUGGAGCGAUGGAAAGAUGGCCAGAGAUCCUCUAAGCCUGUUCUGAGAAGGACUUCUUUUUUUGUUGACCACCUCUAUCUCCAGGCAGAGUGACGGCCUCCUGGAAUUUCUAGAAGCCCGGAGGAUCAAUAAACCCUUACAAUGGGCACCUGCUCUGUGAGGCGAUUAUUGCGUUUGAAUAAAGAAAGCCCCCAGUGAUAAAUCAAUGAUUUAAAAUAAAUGAUUUUCUCCCGUG